GUACUCACUUCAGCAACACAUAUGCUAAACUGGGAAUGACACAGAGAUUAGCAUGGCCCCUGCACAAGGAUGACAUGCAAAUUCAUGAAGCAUUCCAUAUUUUU
ensembl:snRNA U6 U6 spliceosomal RNA